GGACUUAAUCCAAGAAGGAAUGCUUGACCGAUAAUCAAACAAAAGAGGUUAAAAUCCUCUUAAGUCUU
rnacentral:tRNA from 1 species